UUUUUAUCUUUUUGGUAUUAAAACCAUGUAGGCUACCACUGAGUUGCUCUCCCUCUCCACUCUGAUCUCCUCUUUCUUUUCCUCCCUCUCUUUCUUUGCCUCCCUCCCCUUUAGAUCCCUCGAUGAUCUCCUUCAAAAAUCAAACCAUGUAUUUCAAUUUUCACCUAAUUCAUUGGUAUUAUUAAUUUUCUCUCUCUAUAUAUACUUCUUCACAAAACGCAUAUCCAUUUUGUCCUUAAAACCCAC
rnacentral:lncRNA from 1 species